CUCUUAUGAUGAUCGGUUUUAAUUAUCAGUUCUGCUACUGAACACUCAUGUGGAAAUCUUCUACCAAAGCUUACCAUGUCUGAUUU
rnacentral:snoRNA from 1 species